ACGAACCGUGCAAACGUUGUUCGGAAUCACUGGGCUUAAAGGGCGCGUAGGCGGACCAUCAAGUCAGGGGUGAAAUCCUCCAGCUUAACUGGAGAACUGCCUUUGAUACUGAUGGUCUCGAGUAAGGUAGGGGCGUGCGGAACUGAUGGUGGAGCGGUGAAAUGUGUUGAUAUCAUCAGGAACUCCGGUGGCGAAAGCGGCACGCUGGACCUUCACUGACGCUGAUGCGCGAAAGCCAGGGGAGCAAACGGGA
rnacentral:rRNA from 1 species